rnacentral:sRNA from 1 species
UUGCUGGGCUCUCUUUCAGCCAGUGUGGUGGAUUCUGUGUUGAAAACUGUUCCAGUCAGUGUUGCUUCAUUGUUGGCCCUUGUAUAUGUGUGUAUGGUGAGCUGCUGCCAUUCCAGGCCUCUCCUCUACCAAAGUGUUGUCUUUAAUGUGCUGUAUGUGGACAGGUAGAAGGGCUAUACAAUGAAAAGGAUGCUUGAAGUACAUGGUGCUUCCAUGCUGAGGUCAAUGAUUAUCUCUGGGAUGAAGGCAAAUGUGCAAAUGUGGGCACAGUCUCUGCACAUUGUACUGCCUUUAAUAAUUUGCCAGCCGUUUAAUAUGGAGAGCCUAUGACAGUAAUAUUCACCUUUGUUUAUUCUUUAGAUUGACCCUGCUACGGGAAUGGUUAUGAAUCUGGCUGAUCUCAAAAAAUAUAUGGAGGAGGCGAUUAUGCAGCCCCUUGAUCAUAAGAAUCUGGAUAUGGAUGUGCCAUACUUUGCAGAUGUGGUGAGUUCUCCCUGGUCUGUAACAGGAAUGCCCCUUACCCAGCAGCAGGCAGACACCGCCAUGGGUCAAGACAUCCUGCUUCAUGAGGAAACCUUGUUCCCACCAGUGAUUCAGACUGCGUAACCCUUCCAGUGUUUACCCAGAGCGUCAGCAGCAACUUCUG